UUGGAUUUGAAAGUUCAGGCGGUUAUGGAUGGGCAUGCGUUGUAUUAGCUAGAUGGUGAGGUAACGGCUCACCAUGGCUACGAUACAUAGGGGGACUGAGAGGUUAACCCCCCACACUGGUACUGAGACACGGACCAGACUCCUACGGGAGGCAGCAGUGAGGAAUAUUGGUCAAUGGACGCAAGUCUGAACCAGCCAUGCCGCGUGCAGGAUGACGGCUCUAUGAGUUGUAAACUGCUUUUGUACAAGGGUAAACCCCGAUACGUGUAUCGGGCUGAAAGUACUGUACGAAUAAGGAUCGGCUAACUCCGUGCCAGCAGCCGCGGUAAUACGGAGGAUCCAAGCGUUAUCCGGAUUUAUUGGGUUUAAAGGGUGCGUAGGCGGAAUAGUAAGUUAGAGGUGAAAGCUCGGGGCUCAACUCCGGAACUGCCUCUGAUACUGCUAAUCUAGAGAGUAGAUGCGGUAGGCGGAAUGUAUGGUGUAGCGGUGAAAUGCUUAGAGAUCAUACAGAACACCGAUUGCGAAGGCAGCUUACCAAACUAUAUCUGACGUUGAGGCACGAAAGCGUGGGGAGCAAACAGGCUUAGAUACCCUGGUAGUCCACGCAGUAAACGAUGAUAGCUCGUUAUCGGCGAUACACAGUCGGUGACUUAGAGAAAUCGAUAAGCUAUCCACCUGGGGAGUACGUUCGCAAGAAUGAAACUCAAAGGAAUUGACGGGGGCCCGCACAAGCGGAGGAACAUGUGGUUUAAUUCGAUGAUACGCGAGGAACCUUACCCGGGCUUGAAAGUUAGUGACGGACUUGGAAACAGGUCUUCCCUUCGGGGCACGAAACUAGGUGCUGCAUGGUUGUCGUCAGCUCGUGCCGUGAGGUGUCGGGUUAAGUCCCAUAACGAGCGCAACCCCUGCUGAUAGUUGCCAUCAGGUUAAGCUGGGCACUCUAUCGGGACUGCCUCUGUAAGGAGGAGGAGGGUGGGGAUGACGUCAAAUCAGCACGGCCCUUACGUCCGGGGCGACACACGUGUUACAAUGGUAGGUACAGAGGGCAGCCACCCAGCGAUGGGGAGCAAAUCUCGAAAGCCUAUCUCAGUUCGGAUUGGAAGCGGAAA
rnacentral:rRNA from 1 species